GGCUCAUGAGUUUGAACAUCUGGUCCCUAACUGGUGGUGCUGUUUUGGGGAGUUAUAGGAUCAACAUCAUAGAACCAUUGUGACAUGAAGACAUCAUAGAAUCAUUGUGACAUGAAGACAUCAUAGAACCAUGUGACAUGAAGACAUCAUAGAACCAUGUGAUGUGAAGACAUCAUAGAACCAUGUGACGUGAAGGCAUCAGAGAACCAUGUGACAUGAAGACAUCAGAGAAUGUCUUCCUUAGGUACCACCAUUAUGUUUUUCUUUUUAUUUUUUUUGACAGAGUUUUUCUCCCUCUUUUUAGUACCCAGGGGUUGCCAAGUAGACUAGAUUGACUGUCUAUCAAACCCCAGGGACUUGCCUGUCUCCAUCUCUUCAAUGCUGGGAUUAGAACUGUCCACCAUCAGGCCAAGCUUCUUAAUUGUUCUGCCUAGACUUCAGUCUGAGGCCAGCUCAGAGCCACCCUCCAGCAGCAGAGAGAUGCCUUUUGCCUUCAUCGACACUGAGCCGGUGAUGGUUCUUAGAUGGAAAAGAGAUCUACAAAGCCCAAGGUCUUCUGAGGGGGGUUGGGACAAAAUUCCCCAGGAGCAGCUGGGACCUGUGUGGAUCCACUCUGAGACACUUGGUGUGAGCAACCUCACACCAUCCUUAUUUUUCCAAGACAAAUAAAUCUGACUUUGUUCUCCACCUGCCGUGUCUGGCAGAAAACCCAUGCAUAGUGAGUCAUGUUCUCUUAGGGGACAGAGGAGAAAGGGGCAUUUCUCUCUUUCUUGGGAAUGUAAAGAAUCCUUGGGAUUGAAGUAGUUCAGUAAAAUCCAAACGCGAGUGUUUGGGCUUGGGCCGACAGUGGGAUGUUCUUGCUCCUAGUCAGCAUGCACCAGCUUGAAGAGGUCAACUCACUGGCCUCUUCCCUGUCCAGCCAGGUCCUCAGCAAAGGCACCCACAGCCUGCUGCUGUCUGCUCCUUCUCCCAGCUGUUUUCUGCCUGUGCUGAAGGUCUCCAAGCUUGGAGACUUCCACACCACAGUCCCCAGUUUUAGGGAAUCC